CUGCUGCCCACCCCCGGGCCCGCGGCCGGGCCCCGGCGCCGGCGCCCCCUCGCGGCCCCAGGGCCCGGGCUCCGGGGGCCACGUUGCUUCGGAGGGACCCGGCCACCACCGAGACCACCGCCGGCCUCGGCCUCCUCCCGGCCGCGGGCUUUUGCUGGUUUUGGUGCAAACAUGGAUGUAGCUCACAGCACAGCCCCACAAACAGCUCUGAGCAUGGGGGGACCUCAGCCUGCCACUGCCACCAUGUGGGAUGCAGGAGACAAACUUGAAUACCAAGACUUCGCUUGACCAAGAUGGUCAAAAGCUCAAGAUCAGAUUCAUCCUUUCCAACUCCCCUUCUCUAGGCGCAUGUUUCUGGAGCAAACGAUCCCAGAGUCUUGCCUCGCUUCAAGCUUGGAGCCAUGCCGAUCUCAGCAGGAGCCUGGGGGAUAGGCAUCAGAGGCAGGAAAUAAAAGAAUAGGGGUAGACCCAGAUUUUCUAGCUCAGUCCCAGGCUGGGAAGCUGCUGAGCUCAGCCAGCAUUGCAGAGCUCUCCAUGGGAUAUUGACGACAGUGACAGGGCAGUCGUGGAAUGGUUAAACGUAGUCAAAGAGAAACAACAUGAGCUUUUCAGGCAGAAAUCCAGGCAGUGCUGACAGCUAUAGGCAGGUCCUGAAUUGUUCAUUCCCAUGUUCCCAGCUUGCUAAAAACCUUCUGGGCAGUUUGGGCUUCCAUGGGUAUUUGAGUGAGCAUCCCAGCCAUGCUAGUCAGCCUGCUUGUAUCUCCAUCCUUUGCCAUAGUAAAUCAGAAACUUCCAUGUUAUGCCCUGGGUCUACCUGUCUGUGCUGUGGGGACGGGCUCCUAUAAAUCUCUCCUUUCUGGGCAUGAGCACGCCAAUAAAUCUCCCUUGGAUGCAUGUCCUGACCAAGAAUGCAACAAUAAAUUUCCUGUAAGUGGUGGAGAGAGGAGGAACAAGGAAAGAAAUAGGAUAUUCAUGCAUGUCAUUGCAUCUGCUUGCAUGGGAAAAGAAAGCCUGGCAUCCCCCCUCUGGUAGUCAGGUUCUGGCUCCAUUUUCCACCCAGCCAUUGCCUCUUGCUCCAACCCCACGGGCUGCCCUCCUCAGCCCCCCUGCAUGCCCGCUGCCCUCCCAGAGGUCCCCACUCACCCCUGCACCUCCUCACCUCCAUACAGCAUCUCCCCACCAUGGCUGCCUCCUUCUGCGUGGGAGCUCACAGAGGAGACCACCAGGAGCUACAAGCACAGUUCCCACACUGCUCCCUGCCACCUUCAAUUCCCUGAAGUACUUUUUUCAGGGAGACAAUAUCCCUCCAUACCACAUGCUCACCUUUUCCUCUCUUCAUGCCCAAGUUGUUUUGUUCUCCUUUCAUCCUCCCUAGCUGUAUGAAUGGCAGCCUUCUAGGGUCAGCUGCCAGGUCUUCUUCUGUGCCUUUAUAGCACUUUCCCAGGGGGAUCUGGCCUCACUUGGGGUUUCUGUGCUGCCCUGUUGCACAGGACAAUCCCAGCAAGGCUGCAAGCCUGCUGCUGCAGAGGAAGGAGGAAUACCGUCACUGAAAAGCAGGUUCAGGCAAGGAGCACUGUUUUGCUCAAGGUCUCUCACCCAGUUCGGAAGAUGCUCUGUCAGCUCCUGUGGCUCCCCAGUCAUGGGAUCCUGUCUUUGUGAAGGCUGUCCCCUCCCUUGCUGCAGAGGUGGGAGUCAGGAUGCAUUAGGGCAAGACCAGCUUUCCAGGGGGCCCUGGGACUGCAGCACUGACCAACCACCCACUGUCAACAAGCUUUUGGUGGCUCCAUCCCCAAAGCCAGAUUUGCCUGUCCUGCAGGCUGGAAGAUACCUAUUAAAAAAAACCCCAAAAGCAACCAAAAGGCAUGCGUGUACACAGCCAUUUAUUCUGUAGUAGUUUUACUUCUUCUCAGCCUAGCCCAGUCGGGUCCCCAGGGGACACGUGGUAGGAGGCCAGAGGAGACGCCGACAGCCACUUCCCUUUCCGCAGUCUCGGUGCCAGGGUGACUGGUGACAAAGGGCAGGAAGGUACAUGACUGUUAGAGGACAGAGGGCAAGAGCACACCUGUGUGUGAGCGGAGGGGUCCCAGUGGGAGCCCCCAGGGAUCUGUGCUGAGACCUGGGCAGCUUAACACGUGACCUGGCGGAGUCAGACCUGGAAGGGACCUGGAGGAGCUAUUCAAAGCAUUUUGACCAGUACAAUCAAGUAGAAACCAGCUUCUUUUUGAAGAACAACUGAGUAUCUGAGAUGCUCCAGCCUGGGAAAGAAAUGGCUGAGGCAUGAAGCCAUCAGUGAUCUGGGGAGGAGGAAAGGGCUGGUUGUUCAUGUCUCUCCCAGCACAAGAACAGUGGCAGCCCAAACAACGCUAGCCUGUGACAGCUUCAAAACAGGCAAAAACGACUUCUCCACCCAAUGUGUAAUUGGGGACUCAGUGUCACAGGACACUGCAGGUGCAGACAGUUUACAGAGGAUCAAAAGAAGACUGCAUAAAUCACAGAUUGAUCCACUGAAGUUUAUUAAAUGGAUAAAAACUUUCUCUUAGGCAGGAAGUUCUGGUGCCACAAAGGAAGGAAGAACCUUAAGGGAUGUGCAGCACUCAGAGCAGCCCCACAAUCCAGGGAUGGAGGGAUGGUCCAUGCUGCUGUCAGGAUUUUGAUCUCAUCAUUGCUGAGGAGUCACAGCCUGGGGUCAGGGCAAGGCAAAGGAUCUCCCAAGCUGGGCACAUCCCUGGAAAGGCAUCCCAUCUCCACAUGGACUUUGUGAGUGAAGUUCAGGGCCCUGCAUAAUCUGGAGACAGAGGGGACAAUUACAAAUCCUUUGGCCAGAACACCUCCCUGGCUCCCCUGACUGUCACCUCUUUUGUCCUGCAUCAAACUGCUUUGCUCAAUGAGUGAGAGACAACAUGUGCUUGAGAGCUGGAGGAAGCAGGUCACCUGCUUCCACAGGAUUUUACCCAGCACACAGAUGGCUCCUCACUGCAUCAGAGAGACUGAUCCAGUUCACACAACCCAGUGCAACACAGAAUACUGCAGAGCACUUUAUUUUUGCUAGGGCGGACAGCAAAGCAAGACCUGUCAGUGUGCAGGACUCUGAGGGUACGCUGGUGGUGCAAUUGCAGCACUAAAAACACCAACUGCAGCACUUUUUAGCCAAGGAAUCAAAGCCACUGGUGUUAACCAGCCUGGCAUCCGAACCCCAUCCCUGCAGGCAUCCCCAGUGUAAAGCUGUCACCGGGCAGCCUGCCUUUCGGCUGAAGCCAGCAGCUCUACCGGCUUUUGCAGGACAACAGCACAUGAUGCAAAAAAAUCAGGAGUAAGCAAGCACUGCUGCAGUGCCCAUCCUGCAGCAGGAGCAGGCUCCGUUAUGUCUGCUGCCUGCCUGCUCGCCAGGAGCAAUCCUUUACCCAGGAGACACCAGGGAAAGCACCACAUUCCUGGGCUGGCUUUUGGUUGGGGGCAUGCCACAUGCAUCCAAUACCUGCUCCUACCCACCUUCAGUCUCGCACAGGGCCAGUGGCCAGGCCCAGCUCCUGGGUUAAUCCAACUUAUACCUAAGGUGCCUCAUACAGAGCAGCCAGUGGGUCUCCAGAGGUCAGGGGAGACUUCAAGAAAAUUCACAGCAUCUGGCUACCUGCAAGGGAUCUUACUUCCUAUCACUACAGGAUUUUUACAUUCUUUUUCCAGGUUAUUACAAGUUCUCAGGCAUUUCACCGAGACUUUUCCCUGUCUAAACCAAGUCCUGGCUACAGCUGUCCACCCCGCCCGUGGCCACUGGGAUCUCGGGAGAGGCUGAUCCCUUCGCCAGACCCAACCAGUACACAAAGGCCCUUCUAGAAACCAGCCUGUGUUGUGUUACAGGCCAGCUCAGCUCUUUUGGACGCUCCCAAGGGUGGAAGUUGUCUUUCCCUGCCUUUGCAAGCACCUUUGCCGCCACAGCGGACAGCUUCGUUCUUGCUGCGUUUGGACAGUGAUUAAACUAUGGAUGGUUUGGACCACAAGCUCCUACAUCUCUGCCCAGGCGUAUACAAAUAGAACAGCUACUCAGAGGGAUGCUGUAGGGUCCUUCGGGUGCCCAGAAAGGUGAGGCAGAGCAGGUUGCAGAGGCCAAGAACAGACACCCAGCUGUGGAGCUGCCCUGCCCCUGGCCCAUCUCCACUCACAGCAGCACGACAGCAGUGUGGAAACCAGCAAGCCCAGGCUGGGGUGGGAGGUUAGUGCUGCUCUGGGUGUCUCUCAAGGUUGUUGGAGUCUGUUUUGGUGGUACUUUAGAAACCCCAGCAAACCUGCUUUACAGCGCAUCUGACCUGUGUUCCUAGCCUGGGGAGGGCUUGUGGAUAUAGCCAACGUGUUGUUUGUUUUUUCAGCACAAAGGUUGGCUAAAACAUCAAGUAAAUCACUUCCUCCUCCUGUGCUGGGUUGUCCCUGCCACUGGGGCUUGACUCACCAGCUCCAGUUGGCUCUUGUGGUGUGGUGGAGGAGGCUGCCUGGCUCCCCAGCCCUCUUCUUGUGGGUCCCUGAGCAGCCGGGUGGCUCUCCUGCCCAUGGAGCCUGGACUCCUGCUUUCAGUUCUACCUUCAGCACGCUAACACCUGUGAUAUUUCUGUCUCUUUCACUUCUGCUCUGAGCCAGCCUUUGGGCUACUCUGGGUCUGUGGUCAAUAGGACCAGGGACCUGAGGGGCUUGAGGGCCUUACUGGCCAGCAAAAGCCCGGCUGCAGGAAGCCCCUGCUGUGUUGCCAGUGCCUGCAGACACUGCCUCCUGCGCCAGCAUCUCCUGGAGCUGCAUGGGGUGGGGGGAUCCAGGGUGCUGUGAGUCACCCUCUCUACUAGAAGGAAUUUGCUUCUGUUUCACCCCUGGAAACAUGCUGCACUUAAUAAAUUCAAUCUUUGAAACCUGCUGCACUUAAUAAAUUCAAUCUUUGAAAUCUGCUGCACUUAAUGAA